rnacentral:rRNA from 1 species
UCAACAACGGAUCUCUUGGCUCUGGCUUCGAUGAAAACGCAGCGAAAUGCGAUAAGUAAUGUGAAUUGCAGAAUCCAGUGAAUCAUCGAAUCUUUGAACGCACAUUGCGCCCGCCAGCUUCUGGCGGGCAUGACCUGUUAGAGCGUAUUUC